AUGCCCGGCCCGGCCGCCGGCAGCAGGGCCCGGGUCUACGCCGAGGUGAACAGCCUGAGGAGCCGCGAGUACUGGGACUACGAGGCGCACGUCCCGAGCUGGGGUAAUCAGGACGAUUACCAACUGGUUCGGAAACUCGGCAGGGGAAAAUACAGCGAAGUCUUUGAGGCCAUAAACAUUACCAACAACGAGAGAGUGGUUGUGAAAAUCCUCAAGCCAGUGAAGAAAAAGAAGAUAAAACGAGAGGUUAAGAUUCUGGAGAAUCUGCGAGGUGGCACCAACAUCAUUAAGCUGAUUGACACUGUCAAGGAUCCAGUGUCAAAGACCCCAGCUUUGGUGUUUGAAUACAUCAAUAAUACAGAUUUUAAGCAACUGUACCAGAUCCUGACAGACUUUGAUAUUCGGUUUUAUAUGUAUGAGCUGCUCAAGGCCCUGGAUUACUGUCACAGCAUGGGGAUCAUGCACAGGGACGUCAAACCCCACAACGUCAUGAUAGACCACCAACAGAAAAAGUUGCGGCUCAUAGACUGGGGUUUGGCAGAGUUCUACCAUCCAGCUCAGGAAUACAAUGUCCGCGUGGCCUCGAGGUACUUCAAAGGACCGGAGCUCCUUGUGGACUACCAAAUGUAUGACUAUAGCUUAGACAUGUGGAGUUUAGGCUGCAUGCUGGCCAGCAUGAUCUUCCGAAAGGAGCCCUUCUUCCAUGGCCAGGACAACUAUGACCAGCUGGUUCGCAUUGCUAAGGUUCUGGGCACAGAUGAACUGUAUGGGUAUCUGAAGAAGUACCACAUAGAACUGGAUCCACACUUCAAUGAUAUCCUGGGACAGCACUCGCGAAAACGCUGGGAGAACUUCAUCCAUAGCGAGAACAGACACCUGGUCAGUCCUGAAGUCCUGGACCUUCUGGACAAACUUCUGCGAUAUGACCAUCAACAGAGACUGACUGCCAAAGAGGCUAUGGAGCACCCAUAUUUCUACCCAGUGGUGAAGGAGCAGUCCCAGCCCAGCUCAGAAAAUGCCGUGCUCUCCAGUGGCCUGACAGCAGCACGAUGAAGACUGGAAAACAAUGGGUCCGAUGCUGUUCCUCCCAAUUUUCCAUAAGCAGAACAAGAACCAAAUCAAACGUCUUAUCAGCGUGUGUACAGAGCUGGCGGCCAGACGGCGUUGCGGUGGCAGGGGACGAGACCAGAGACCGCACCGGCUCCAUGGCACCCACCAGUUUAUAAACACAAACCUUACUUCUGAAUGUAAAAGGUUCCUCUGCCUUUGACUUCCUGUUGACCUCUUCCUGACCCAGAAAGCAUGGAAAAUGUGAAGGCAUCGUUUCCUGCAUUACACGUCUCUUGGGAAGAGGAGAGAGAAUGGAGAUGCCUUGGAUAAAAGUUGAAAUUGCCUUGAUUUUUCUUUAGAAUUCACUGAGAAACUAGGACAAAUGGUUUGAAAACACAAAAUGUUUCCAUGUAUAUUGCUCCUGCAAAACAGCUGGCAGUAAGAUGUGUGCCUGGACAGCAUCUGCACGGUGGAUGAAUGAGGGGCUGGGCUAUUCAGGAAUGGCAGCUGUAUAUUUGCCCUCAUCUCAUGUGUUAACAGAUUGGAUUUAUGGAGUCAUUUAUUUAACUGUGUUGUAUAAAGUGU